UACGUAGGGUGCAAGCGUUAAUCGGAAUUACUGGGCGUAAAGCGUGCGCAGGCGGUUUGUUAAGUCUGAUGUGAAAUCCCCGGGCUUAACCUGGGAACUGCAUUGGAUACUGGCUGGCUGGAGUGCGGCAGAGGGGGGUGGAAUUCCGCGUGUAGCAGUGAAAUGCGUAGAUAUGCGGAGGAACACCGAUGGCGAAGGCAACCCCCUGGGCCAGCACUGACGCUCAGGCACGAAAGCGUGGGGAGCAAACAGG
rnacentral:rRNA from 1 species